CCCUUAGAUGUCCUGGGCUGCACGCGCGCUACACUGAUGUGUCCAGUAAGCACCUAACCUCUUCCGAAAGGAACGGGUAACCUUUGCAAAGCACAUCGUGAUGGGGAUAGAUUAUUGCAAUUAUUAGUCUUGAACGAGGAAUUCCUAGUAAGCACAAGUCAUCAGCUUGUGUUGAUUACGUCCCUGCCCUUUGUACACACCGCCCGUCGCUCCUACCGAUUGAAUGUUCCGGUGAGCUCUUCGGACUGCGCGGUCUGCAGUUUCUGCGUUCCGUGCGGAAAGUUGCGAAAACCUUAACAUUUAGAGGAAGGAGAAGUCGUAACA
rnacentral:rRNA from 1 species